rnacentral:rRNA from 1 species
GAUGAACGCUGGCGGCGUGCCUAAUACAUGCAAGUCGAGCGAACGGACGAGAAGCUUGCUUCUCUGAUGUUAGCGGCGGACGGGUGAGUAACACGUGGAUAACCUACCUAUAAGACUGGGAUAACUUCGGGAAACCGGAGCUAAUACCGGAUAAUAUUUUGAACCGCAUGGUUCAAAAGUGAAAGACGGUCUUGCUGUCACUUAUAGAUGGAUCCGCGCUGCAUUAGCUAGUUGGUAAGGUAACGGCUUACCAAGGCAACGAUGCAUAGCCGACCUGAGAGGGUGAUCGGCCACACUGGAACUGAGACACGGUCCAGACUCCUACGGGAGGCAGCAGUAGGGAAUCUUCCGCAAUGGGCGAAAGCCUGACGGAGCAACGCCGCGUGAGUGAUGAAGGUCUUCGGAUCGUAAAACUCUGUUAUUAGGGAAGAACAUAUGUGUAAGUAACUGUGCACAUCUUGACGGUACCUAAUCAGAAAGCCACGGCUAACUACGUGCCAGCAGCCGCGGUAAUACGUAGGUGGCAAGCGUUAUCUGGAAUUAUUGGGCGUAAAGCGCGCGUAGGCGGUUUUUUAAGUCUGAUGUGAAAGCCCGCGGCUCAACCGUGGAGGGUCAUUGGAAACUGGAAAACUUGAGUGCAGAAGAGGAAAGUGGAAUUCCAUGUGUAGCGGUGAAAUGCGCAGAGAUAUGGAGGAACACCAGUGGCGAAGGCGACUUUCUGGUCUGUAACUGACGCUGAUGUGCGAAAGCGUGGGGAUCAAACAGGAUUAGAUACCCUGGUAGUCCACGCCGUAAACGAUGAGUGCUAAGUGUUAGGGGGUUUCCGCCCCUUAGUGCUGCAGCUAACGCAUUAAGCACUCCGCCUGGGGAGUACGACCGCAAGGUUGAAACUCAAAGGAAUUGACGGGGACCCGCACAAGCGGUGGAGCAUGUGGCUUAAUUCGAAGCAACGCGAAGAACCUUACCAAAUCUUGACAUCCUUUGACAACUCUAGAGAUAGAGCUUUCCCCUUCGGGGGACAAAGUGACAGGUGGUGCAUGGUUGUCGUCAGCUCGUGUCGUGAGAUGUUGGGUUAAGUCCCGCAACGAGCGCAACCCUUAAGCUUAGUUGCCAUCAUUAAGUUGGGCACUCUAAGUUGACUGCCGGUGACAAACCGGAGGAAGGUGGGGAUGACGUCAAAUCAUCAUGCCCCUUAUGAUUUGGGCUACACACGUGCUACAAUGGACAAUACAAAGGGCAGCGAAACCGUGAGGUCAAGCAAAUCCCAUAAAGUUGUUCUCAGUUCGGAUUGUAGUCUGCAACUCGACUACAUGAAGCUGGAAUCGCUAGUAAUCGUAGAUCAGCAUGCUACGGUGAAUACGUUCCCGGGUCU